rnacentral:tRNA from 1 species
GGGGAUUUAGCUCAGCGGUAGAGCGCUUGCCUAGCAAGCGCGAGGCCCUGGGUUCGGUUCCCAGCUCCA